rnacentral:rRNA from 1 species
AGUGAACGCUGGCGGCGUGCCUAAUACAUGCAAGUCGAACGGAGUGGCGCACGGGUGAGUAAUGUAUAGCUAAUCUGCCCUACACUAGAGGACAACAGUUGGAAACGGCUGCUAAUACUCUAUAGUGUAGGAUGAGGCUAUAUUGUAUCAGCUAGUUGGUGAGGUAAUGGCUCACCAAGGCUAUGCCGCAUAACUGGUCUGAGAGGAUGAGCAGUAACACGGGAACUGAGGCACGGUCCAGACUCCUACGGGAGGGAGCAGUAGGGAAUAGUGCUCAAGGGGGGAAACCGUGAAGGAGCAACGCAGCGUGGAGGAUGGCACUUUGCGGAGCGUAAACUCCUUUUGUUAGGGAAGCGGUACCUAACGAAUAAGCACCGGCUAACUCCGUGCCAGCAGCCGCGGUAAUAC